rnacentral:lncRNA from 1 species
CCCAGCUGCUUUGUUUACCUAAUCAAGCCUGGGCAAUGGCGGGCGCCCCUCCCCCAGCCUCGCUGCCGCCUUGCAGUUUGAUCUCAGACUGCUGUGCUAGCAAUCAGGGAGAUUCCGUGGGCGUAGGACCCUCCAAGCCAGGUGUGGGAUAUAGUCUAGUGGUGCGCCGUUUUUUAAGCCUGUCGGAAAAGCGCAGUAUUCUGGUGGGAGUGACCCGAUUUUCCAGGUGCCGUCCGUCACCCCUUUCUUUGACUAGGAAAGGGAACUCCGUGACCCCUUGCGCUUCCUGAGUGAGGCAAUGCCUCGCCCUGCUUCGGCUCUCGCACGGUGCGCGCUCCCACUGACCUGCGCCCACUGUCUGGCACUCCCUAGUGAGAUGAACCCGGUACCUCAGAUGGAAAUGCUGAAAUCACCCGUCUUCUGCGUCGCUCAGGCUGGGAGCUGUAGACCGGAGCUGUUCCUAUUCGGCCAUCUUGUCUCCUCCCCCCAGGAGUUCUGCUGCACAAGUUCUGUCUCUCUGCCUGCUGCCAUCCAUGUAAGAUGUGACUUGCUCCUCCUUGCCUUCCACCAUGAUUGUGAGGCCUCCUCAGCCAUGUGGAACUGUAAGUCUAUUAAACCUG